rnacentral:lncRNA from 1 species
AUUGCAGAGCUGCUGCCAGAGGGACACGGAGGAGCCUCCAAAGAACUUCCUGGUGGAUGCCUGAGCAAAGCUCUGCCAACCUGUCAGUCCAGCCAUGCAAGAAGAGAGGGAGACAGACAGACCAAAAGAAAAGAGGGAGUGAAGCAGAGAUUCUUUCAAACCUCAGCAGGACAUUAAGCUCACCUGGCACACAGAGCCUCCAGGAGCCACAGACAGACAGUGCUGCUGCCUCUGAGAGCCUCGGAAUGCCUUUGCCAGGGCUUUGGUUACACACUCCUGGCUUCUGCAUCUUCCUUCUGUUGAACUUCUCAAAUCCUCCUGCCUGUGCUGUGGAUCAAAGCUCUUUUCCAGGCAGUGGCCACCACAAGCCUGGAAAUCCAGAGGGGAUCCAGAUUUUAUCUGUCCAGAUAAAAACCUCUGCAAAGUCCUGGUGUUCCAUCAUUUUCCCUUUCUCCUGGGAUCCUCUCCUCUCCUGGGAGCCCUGACUCAUUCCCUGAGGGGAUGGUGAUACACAGUGUGAUUAUAAACAUUUAAUAAAUAGAAAAACCUUCUUUUAGAGUGUUUUCUG